UACGUAGGGUGCAAGCGUUGUCCGGAAUUAUUGGGCGUAAAGAGCUCGUAGGCGGUUUGUUGCGUCGGCUGUGAAAUCCCGAGGCUCAACCUCGGGUCUGCAGUCGAUACGAGCAAACUAGAGUGUUGCAGGGGAGACUGGAAGUCCUGGUGUAGCGGUGAAAUGCGCAGAUAUCAGGAGGAACACCGGUGGCGAAGGCGGGUCUCUGGGCAACAACUGACGCUGAGGAGCGAAAGCGUGGGGAGCGAACAGG
rnacentral:rRNA from 1 species